UUCAUCUGUUGUUCGACCUGAUAGUCAAAUGCGUUUUGUUAAAAUAUACUUUUUUUUUUACUUUUAAAAAUGUUUUUGUGGUGUAUUUACCCCAUUUCCAAGAGAUUUGUUUUGAGCCCACGUAUGAAAAUUGCGGUUUUUAUCCAGUUCAAUCCUAGGUUUGGACCUUGUUAUCAAUGUAUACUUGUUUAAAUAUUUUAAUAUGAGCGUCACUGAUGAGUCUCAUGUAGACGAAAAGCGCGUCUGGCGUACUGAUUUAUAAUCUUGGUACCUUUGAUAACUAAUUAUAGACACUUACAGAGAAGAAUUGUGAAAUACAGAUUAUUAUAAUCAUUACUAUAAAAUAAAAGAUAAUAAUUUUUCAAAAUCACUAUAUUUCUUUUACUUAAUUCCCCUUGAUGUAUGUUUUGUAUAUUAUUAUUGAUCAUUACUUCAUACAACGACUAUAAUUAUCCAAAUCCAUAUGUAACAAGACAUGCGGAAGGUUGAUAAAAGAUUGAUCAUUUAAUACAGGACACUGUAUAAGUCAGGUUGUAUGAUGUCCAAUUGUCUGAAAUACAUUGCAUUGAUUUCAAUAAUAUCGAUUGUACUUGGUGAUGUGUACACUGGUUUCCCCCUAGAACCAGACUUUAUGCCAGCUCCUGGCAUGUUUUUACCAAACCCGGGUUAUGGCGUACCUGUCCUCCCAUAUGGCGUACCUGUACUCUCAAAUGGCGUACCUGUUCCACCCCACUUGGUUCAUCAGAGCUAUUUUGACACAAUUAAAGAAACAUAUCAAGCUUAUAAACCAUACGGAACAGUAAUUUCUGUUGCUUGGCGAUUACUUUCAGUAGCAGAAUUUCUUGGAUGACCGCUAUUGAAGCUGGUUUAGUUUAAAGGAAAACUCGAUACUUGACUGAAUGCAAAUAAAAACACAACAGAAUGCAAAUAAUUAUGAGCCUAGAUGAACUACCAACGAUUAUUCAGAUAAUGGAAUACUAGUGUAUAGCCUGUAUAAAAACAAGGAAAUUUGGUAUGAUUGCCAAUGAGACAACUCUCUGCCAUCGUUCAAAUGAAGUCAAAGUCAGCAAUUAUAGGCAAUCGUACUUUUGUUUUUAGAGAAGUUGUCCAACAUUGAAAAAUGUGUCCAUCUUAUCCUAUGACUUAUAUACAAAGGACUUAAAAAGCUUUUCACCAGCUGGUAAGGAAAAAUACCAGAUUAAAGUUAAACCUUAACUGUAUUGUGACUACACAACUAUAUUUUAUAAUAGUCAGGACCAAAACGUUUCCCUGAUUCUUGGAACCAGUUGGUAAAUAAAUAAUCAAAACAAAAUAUCUAUGAAUAUUAUAUAUUGAACAGUUAUUAUUGACAUACUAUGUAGUAUAAAUAAUAUUCAUGAUACAAUAAUUAAUUGAUUUUAAAUUACAAAUGGUCGGUGUCACUUUAAACGCAAUGUUUAUAUUUUCAAUUAGGAAAUGUGAAACUAUAACUUGUAAAGCAGUUCUUUUCUUUUGCAGAAUAAUAUAUUUAUUCAUUUAAGUCUUCGUGUCAUCAAAUUAACAAAUGUUCUUAAGUUUAUAGAAUUCCUGACAAUGUUCACUGAUUCGAAAUAGCAUUUUUCUAAAAUCACUGUCAGCUUUACAAUAUAACAGGUAAAUGGUUAUCAUCUUCGAUUGGUAUUUCGUCGGAUAAGGUGCAUAAACUUUCACCAGGUGCCUUAUUUCUAAAUUGCCAAGUUUCAGUGAAAACAGGUAGUAUAGUGCCAUGUUUGAUAAUUAUUUUCUGGAUGUUCUUUUUUUAACAUGAAGUUCAUGUAUUUAGUUUUGAUGUUAUUUUUGAUAUUCUCAUCGGAUUUUGUCAAAUGUCUUAUCGUUUGUAGUUCUAAAUCUUAUUUUUCUGUUGUAUUCGUUUGUUAUGUAAAAGACAAUUAAUCAUCCAGUCAUUUAGUCUGGUUCUACUAAAUUGAUACGAUAUAUAAAUUAUAUUUGAUUAAUAGUUUGAUUUAGAAGAAAUACAGACAAAGCUAGAUCAUAAAUCAAUCAUCAGAUACUACCACAAUUUGAUAUUAAUUAUCAUUGUUACUAAUAAAUGUUCUAUCAACAUUACAAACCUAAUCUUGAAUUCUAUUCUAAUUCUAUCUUAUUUUGUAGUUUUUAGAAAUUCA